rnacentral:rRNA from 1 species
UCGAGAGGCUUCGGCAAUGGGGGAAACCCUGACCGAGCGACGCCGCGUGGAGGAUGAAGGCCCUUGGGUUGUAAACUCCUUUUGUUGGGGAAGAAAUGCGAUCAGGUGAAUAAUCUGGUCGUUUGACGGUACCCGACGAAUAAGCUCCGGCUAACUCCGUGCCAGCAGCCGCGGUAACACGGGGGGAGCAAGCGUUGUUCGGAAUCACUGGGCGUAAAGGGAGUCUAGGCGGUCAGGUAAGUGAGAUGUGAAAUCCCUCGGCUUACCCGAGGACCUGCAUUUCAUACUGCUUGGCUUGAGUACGGGAGAGGAUGUGGGAAUUCCUGGUGUAGCGGUGAAAUGCGUAGAUAUCAGGAGGAACACCGGUGGCGAAAGCGCACAUCUGGCCCGUAACUGACGCUGAAGCUCGAAAGCUAGGGGAGCAAACGGGAUUAGAUACCCCUGUAGUCC